rnacentral:rRNA from 1 species
UACAGAGGGUGCGAGCGUUAAUCGGAAUUACUGGGCGUAAAGCGUGCGCAGGCGGCUUUGCAAGACAGAUGUGAAAUCCCCGGGCUUAACCUGGGAAUGGCCAUGGAAACUGGCGAGCUGGAGUGUGGCAGAGGGGGGUGGAAUUCCGCGUGUAGCAGUGAAAUGCGUAGAGAUGCGGAGGAACACCGAUGGCGAAGGCAGCCCCCUGGGCUAACACUGACGCUGAGGCACGAAAGCGUGGGGAGCAAACAGG